rnacentral:lncRNA from 1 species
AUGAGAAAAUGUGGAGCAGACUGUAUAGCCAAUGAGAGGGCAGCACAGACAAUGAGAACACUACAACAUGCCUACCCCCCUGCUGUUCCAUUUCUCUCCAUCACCCUUCCCCUUUUCUCCAUCACCCUUCCCCUUUUCUCCAUCUGUCCCAAGAAUGCCCAAAGGUUUCUACCCUUAUCCUCCAGUUCUUCUUUUGGAGAACUGAUCAGCACCCUGCCAGCUGAGGCCAACAGAGUGGGUUCUGGUGGUCAAGGAUGUGAUACCUGGGCCCCAUCACCCUGUCAGCACCUUGUAGAUUUUCCAGGAGCACCUGCAUUGUGUUUAAAAUUGUAUGUUUGCAGUUGGCAUUGGACAAGGCUGAUUCCUCCCCUUAUAGAAGGCCUAUCAGCUGGAGGUGAUGAGGAGGCCUAGAUGCCGUCUCUUAGGGAAGGUGAGUCAGAAUGCAUGGGAGGAGGAGUGGGCCUUACAUGGAAGGUUUGCAAAGUUUCCAUCAGUGUGUGUUACCUGCCUGCCUGGACAGCUUCAGUGGAGCCUGCUUUUGAGGGUUUUAGCCCCUUUGCUGCCACUCAUUGUAAAGUUUUACUUUUAAGAAAACUAUAGCUUCAGGACACAGAGUUACUCAAGGUUACAAUGACUUUUUUCUUUCAGGAAACUCCAAAACAAACAAACAAAAUGCCUGCAAAGGGUCUUAGAGAUACAGUCAGCCUGUAAACCAGGUCUGUGUUUAGCCUGUAAAUUCAGCCUGCUUUUCCCCCCAGGCCUUCUUCAUCCUCCAGGAAGCAGCCCUGCAACCGACACUGGAACCAGAGCUCUAAACCUCAAGUGCAUCUAAUCCAGCCCACCAAGUGGGUAACCUGACGCACAGGAGGAGUACACAUCCCAGAUCUCCUGAGGACACACCCAAAACCACACAAACUCCUUCAACCCAGUCCAUAAUGCACCUCACUAUGGGCACCCACAUCCCCUCCUGAGUGUGGGCUUCUUCACUCUGCCCAAUAAACUUUUCUGUGCCUCUCCCUGUCAUAUCCUGUUGUUCUUUUCUGUAAGUCAAGAACUUUCAACCUACCCCACAGGUGAGGCGAACUGAGGUUCCCAUCUCUCUUGGAUGGUGGCCUUCCUUAGGCCCUGUCCAGUGACAGGAACAGGCCUUCCUGAUUCCUGUAUUUACUGCUAGGCAGUGUGAGCCAUUGGACAAGCUGUUGAUCUUCCUAAACGUAGUUUCCCUGUCUGUAAAAUGGGGGAUAACAGUAGAUUCUACCCCCUAACACUGUUUGGAGGGUUAAUGUUAUUAG